GGCUCGGUGGCGGACGGUCCGCGCCUGCGCUGUAUAUAAUUCGAAUAUUGCAGUAGGAUACGCCCGUUCGACUCGGGCUCGGGCCA